rnacentral:lncRNA from 1 species
AAAGCUUCAGUCCCUCACCUAUAAAUUGGCUCGCAUACAGACGGAAAGGAGGGGCGCCACACAAUUGAGAAUACAUGGCCAGGAUAUAGAGAGCCACAACAUAGAGAGAAAACACACGUGAGAGAGAGGAGUGUUCAGCCAAGCAUCACGUGGCUGAGCCUCUCGGGUGAUCUUGAUUCACUGUCCAUCGUGUACUGCGGUCUUGCUCAGACACGUCUGAUCGCACACGCAGGCUUCACUUUCUUGGAGGUUUUUCUAACCAUCGUGCUCCCUACGGCACCGGGUGAUUGUCCAAUACUUCCUGAUCCAACAUCGAGUCUCGAGUUGCGCCUCCAACAAUCUCACGGACAUACAAUACAACGACGAUCCAUAGAGAGCAAAAGAGAAAGGAAAAUCGUGAGCGUGGCAGCCAUAAAAAGGAGACCAUCAGGCAAUCUCCCGCACGUGCUCAUACUAAUAAAUUGAAGCAUUGUUGGGAGAAGGCCUGUCUUGGAAUUUGAAGUCUUCUUUCCACGGCUUGAGUGUGGAAUUUCAGUGAGUGGGCUUCUCUGGGUCCAAGAGAAUCGUGAACUGGGGGAAGAGUAGCAGCCACCUGCCACUUCACACCUUGCCAGAUUGAAGGAAACACUACACUAGUCGUCCACGCUUGUGUAGUGUUGUCCUCUUACGGCCACGACGAGCUGCAAUUGCAGCCAGAUCUUCUUGCUCCGCAACCGAGACCCCAUUGACGACGUUCAGCAAAGAUAUCACCACGAGCAAGCCGUGCUCCAUCAUCCGAGAACUCAAGUCCCGUGACGAUUCGCCUGCGAACCGUGAGCUACUCUUGGGCUCCUCAUCACGCAG